ACCAAGCAACGGUUGGAGGCCUCACAUUGAACACUGUGCAUGAAAGGGGUCUCUGGGCCGGGCACUUUGUGUGUUUUUCGCUGGCCCCAUAAGGAAAUAUCUAAUAAAGAGCGCAAAAAGCGCUAAGCGCAAUAAUACCUUCAGGGAGCUGGUAGUCAUGUCUGAGAAUAAUCUUGCCACUAAUUUAAUUAACUUUAUGAUCUUAACUCAUUUACUUUCCCUUCAGUGAAUGUUCGUUAUGAAUGGAGAUGGAGUGAAGUGUUGCUAAUGGUGCGAAAAAAAGCACCCCAGAGUGUCAGUUCGGGCUCUGUUAGGGGUCCCCGCGCGUGUGGGGAAGGUGACGACCUGCGGCCCAGCUGACGGGUAGCGCGCACUCCGGAGGUGACGACCUGCGGCCCAGCUGACGGGUAGCGCGCACUCCGGAGGUGACGACCUGCGGCCCAGCUGACCGGUAGCGCGCACUCCGGAGGUGACGACCUGCGGCCCAGCUGACCGGUAGCGUGCACUCCGAAGGUGCUGAGUAAGCAGAUUCAUACCUUGGAGUUUGCUACUUUACGGAGGUGGCCCCGCUGGACGUGAGUGACAGGUUGGAGGCUGCCGUAAGAGUGGACCUUCUCCUCGACAGAAAGACUGAAUAGGAUACGGCAGAAACAUCGCCAUCCAGACGCUGUGCUCGUGUACAGAGAGCGCACACUGAAAGCUUACAGGGUCUGCGGUUAAUACCUCCCAACCCAUCACUCUGCCACCCCCUUACCCAGUAUGGGGUCACAGGAUGUAGUCUGAUACAGUUGUCUAAAAAUGUAUUAAAAUACAGACACCCAUUCUCAUCCUCAAUACAACAUUAUUCUCUUAGUCCAGGACUAUAUGGAAAUAUCGACUUGUUUGGGUCUGUAUCCGCACCCUCCUGAGCAGUGACUAAAUCUGAGUGGACAGUUUGUUUUCUUCUGGAAUUUUCCAUACAGAACUCCAGAGGUGGCACUGUUACCUAUUUAGGAUCAGACCGAUGGUCCCGUGGCGUGCAGAAGACUUUCCUUCUGUUAAGUACACCCCCCACUUGUCCUCGGGGAAAAACGACCCCUGCAGGGGUGCUGCGAGUCGGCCCAGUGUCCAGGCCACAUGCAACGGGCCACAUGCGAGAUUGACUGCAGGGCAUGCCAGCUGCGUCGCUACAGAUGCACAACCCCAUGCGUUCUGAUGCGCUGCCAUGUGUCAUGUAUGCGGUCUGCCUCACAGCCUCGACGCUCCUCCCAAUCAGCAACAUUAACCUUGCUUUACAUGAGAUGCUGCUACAUGUCCUGUGACAAAUUUAGCUGCGGGGAUGAAAUGUAUUACUUCAGAUAUUGGUGAGACAUAAUUACUAUUCAGCUGAUUACCUGUAAGUAAAUGUUAGCAUUAAUUAGCGACUUAGCGUAGCGUAGCCUCUCUUGGCUUGGCGGUGACCUGGUGAUGGAGUCCAUUACAGCUUUUAUGGCCUCACUAAACUUCUAAAAUGGUAGGGUAGCCUUUUACUCUCUGUACUCUGCAGCCAGAAUAAUCUGUACCAUCGCCUCUUGCAAUGGCAUCCAUCAAUGUCACCACUCUGCUCUUCACAUCACCUCUAAACGUCCACUCUGCCAAUGGCUCGACCCACUCAGUCUUCGCAGAUAUCUGCUUUGUUUCCAAGGGAAAACCAAUCGACUUGGAGCCUGACCAAGUCGCCUGAAACGGUUUCCUGGUUGAAAGUAACCAGGACUCAGUUUAGCCCUGUCCCAUUAGUAGUAAGAAAAAUACGCGAAAUGCUUUGCUACUCAAGUUAAAUAUGUAAAAUAUAAAAUAAAGUAUACCUGCUCGUAUCAGAAUCUCAAAUAUGACAUUGACAUACUACUGCACAAUGGAACCGGCUGAGUUCAAAAUAAGAAUCUGGGGCAUUUUGAAGUCACUUGUCAAUAAAAUGUCAUUUGGAGCAGAUUUAUCUGAACAGCUGGGCGCCUUUGUUGAGGAAGUUCCACUUGUGCUUUUCCCCUGGGAGCUCGAUACAUUUGCAUGGCGAUCCUGUGCUGGAUAAGUGAGACACGGAAUGGAAGGAUGAGGAGAGGAGAACUGCGAAACAGGAAUGAAUAUUUCAAGCUAUAAAGUACGGGAUCUCGCAGGUUCGUUAGUGUCUGCUCGUUAGCGCUUUGGGAUACUGACUAACACAUGCGCGCUGCCUUCCACCUUGGCUCUUCCCAGCGCCGUGAGCGCGGGAUACAGCACUGUGUGCGGAUUCCCUCCCGUCCCGCCAUCGUUUCUGGGCUCUGAAGGCCUCGAUAGCUGUUGUCGUAGAAACAGGCAUCUCUCCAUUUUCGCUUCUUGGGAGGUACGGGGCCGUUUCUGCCCCGUCCAUCAUUUCAUAACGACUCAGCGGUGGUCCGCUUUCAGCCGUGUGAAGUGUAGCGGUCUGACACGACGCAUCGGGGGCUGAACAUAAGUGCAUUUACCCACCAGACCUCAACGGGAGUCUGGACAUCCCUCUUCCUCAAACUCUUACAUGGCUCCUUUAAUCAUUUUGACGUGUAUUUAGCUAAAAGAAGCCCAAAGGAUCGUUUAACGUUGUGUAAAUAACAGAGCUGCAUCAGAGAUGUCAGUAAUGAAGGUUAGAAUUAUGGCUACUGGAGAACUCGUGCUGCUUCUGUAUUUUCUUCUAGCUGUGGUGCUUUGUUGACCGUGCAUGGUUCCAGUAUUCCUCCGUGUUUAUGUUCUGCAAGGAAACACAUCUUCAUUCCACAGCCGUGUAUCACGGCAAUGUUCAGACGGGAUGUUUUGGCGAGAUUCAAGGUGUCUCUGUGGCUUUCCAUCAAACUAUUGUGACAGCCAGUGAGGGAGAGGGAGAUUGCAGCACUGUGUCCGUGACCCUUGCGGGUUUGUGUUUGAACAUCAUGCUUAAGAAUUAAAUUAUUCUCCAAUAAUCUAAAUUUAGAAUCCGGUACUUCUGUUUUGACACGUUGCCCUUAUUUUCCUUGUCAGAUGGUUUUAUUUCUAAUAACCUUUAACCGUCCUGAAUAAAAGCAGCUGUCAGAUGAAUAAAAACUCAGUUUACUUUUG